CUUAGCCCUUUCCCUUUCUUAUUUUCCAGAAAAGCGCACCUUUAUUGUUUUAGAAAGGAGAAUAGGGAGGAUUAGCGGUUACUUUUCAUCCUCAUAAACUUGGAACUAUUUCCAACUCUGCAACCCCAAACUAACCCUCACACCCUUGGUCACCCACCCUCAAAUUCAUCCCAGAUUCCUCCAGCACCCCUGCUCCCAUCCGCAAAAGCUCUGAACUCAGCAAGUCACAGGAGGCGACAUCUGUCACUUCAGCCGCCCCAGGCACUUCGCAGGCGCUGCGAACCCUCCCCUAAAGCCUCCCUGGCCGGGUUCAGGCCUUAGAAACCCAGGUCCUACCAGGCCGAAACCAAACUCACCAGCAGACAAAGACGACGAUGGCGAGCCAGAAGUUCUGCGCCUGCGCACUCCUGAGGCGGGUUAGCGUUCCCAGAGGGCCCCUGGCCUCCGCCACGCCGGGCUCCGAACCCGCCAGGACCAACCGAUUUUGGCGGGUCGUCUGCUCUUUUUUUUAACCGUGGACUACAUUUCCCAUUAGUUUCAGUGGUUCGAGUGGCCUUUUCCACGAACUCUUUCUGCCAGAGCUUGUGGGACUGUCUCCCCGGUGGAGGGAUGUAAGCAGGACUCAGCUAAUUCUACCUGCGUUUACCUCCGGGAGAGGGCAGUGGUGUCCCAAUAAUAAGCGCAGCUCGGACAGGGUGGCCCAACGUUAAGAAGGGCUCCUGGGGUCUUCCAGACGCAGUUCGGUGAUGUAGCAACUCCCUGGCCAGCUCGAGCCUGGCGCCCUCAAGUCUUUCGCGGCGCGGCUCCGAACUACAUUUCCCAGAGGGCGCUGGGCCCUUGGCCCCUGCCCCUCCACGCGCGAGCCUUAGUGUCUGAACCGUUCUCUGCAGUUGCAAGCGACGCGUUCCUGGGGAGGCCAAAGAUGGAGUUUACAGCCCGGGGCGGGGACUUAGAACGAGCCUUAAAGCCUGUUGGAAUUGUCUAAGACAGACCAUCAAGUAAGCUGGAAUCUACUCUCUGGAAAUAUCUUCCUUGUACUCCCGAAUUUUCUCCUAUUAAUGUGGCAUAUGGUUCAGUAUAUCUAUGCUAUUUUCUUUUUACAUAUAUACACAAACAUGCACAUGUAUGUAAAUAUAGGUACAUAUAUGUAUAAUGUUUUCAUCUGAAUCAGUUACUUUGUCACAUAUGUGGCCAAUCCAAUAUCCAUUCCCUCUUCUUUAUUGCUAAAAAAGUCCUGACCUUGUUUUAAGAAAAAUAAACAAAAAACUCUGUGUUCUAACUUCUCCUGUAGUUGUAAGCAAAAGUUAUUAGAUUGAGUUUCUCAGAUAAUUCUUAAAAAUGCAAGGUGAGGGCAGGGCCAGACUCAGUAAGCAGGUAUUCUUUUGGCCUUUCGCCACUUUCCAUCUGGAAUGUGGAUGUGGUGCCACAUGUGAAGCAUUGAAGCAUUUAUCUUAAAACCAUGCAUUUACCAUGAAAGGAUGAAUAGGAAGUUUGCUAUAUUAAAUUAAAAUAGAAGAUUUUAAGUUUCUGUUUUGUGAAAGCAAUUUGGCAAAAAAAAAAAAUUCUACCUAUAUAUACAUGAAAUGUGUAGUAGAAUUUUAAUUUUCU
ensembl:lincRNA